CCCCACUUUUGCCUUCCAGUUGUGAUUCACACCGUGGGGCCCAUCGCCCAGGGAGAGCCCAGUUCCUCGCAGCAGACCGAACUCGGCGACUGCUACAAGAACAGCUUGAAACUUGCCCUGGACAACAAGCUGCAAACAGUGGCCUUUCCCUGCAUUUCCACCGGGGUCUUUGGCUACCCCAAUGACGCUGCUGCAGAGGUUGUUCUCGACACAUUACACAAUUGGCUAGAAAACAACAAGGACAAGGUUGAGCGGCUUAUCAUCUGUGUUUUCCUGGAAAAGGACGAUGAAAUUUAUAAGGAGAAGCUGCCCAAGUUUUUUCCUAUCGCCUGACCCCCCACUUCCCAUGCUCCGAAGGCGCAGAUCCCUGUGAGGAAACUCCGUCCUCAAAGCUCUGAAGUGGCUUCCUGAGAAUCCGGCUGCUUCCUCUGCAGGAGGAGACGCCGGAUCUUUUCCAAGGGGGAAAGCUCGAAGAAAACACCCACCCUUCUUCCCCCAGGCGCCAUCGGCCGCAAUUCCAGAAUAAAAAUUGCAAAGAUGA